rnacentral:pre_miRNA from 1 species
UUUUUAGUACAAGCAUGCCCCAUGCAGAAUUUAGGGCAUGCUUGUACUAAAA